GGGUCGUUAGCUCAGUUGGUAGAGCAGUUGACUUUUAAUCAAUUGGUCGCAGGUUCGAAUCCUGCACGACNCG
rnacentral:tRNA from 1 species